UACGGAGGAUCCGAGCGUUAUCCGGAAUCAUUGGGUUUAAAGGGUCCGUAGGCGGUCUUAUAAGUCAGUGGUGAAAGCCCAUCGCUCAACGAUGGAACUGCCAUUGAUACUGUAAGACUUGAAUGCUUAGGAAGUAACUAGAAUAUGUAGUGUAGCGGUGAAAUGCUUAGAUAUUACAUGGAAUACCAAUUGCGAAGGCAGGUUACUACUAAGUGAUUGACGCUGAUGGACGAAAGCGUGGGGAGCGAACAGGAUUAGAUACCCUAGUAGU
rnacentral:rRNA from 1 species